GGCACGUAAUGAUAAAAUCGUCAACAUCCGAUUCAGGAGCGGGCAUGGCUUUUUGCAAUGUAAGUAUAGUGAUCAAUUAAUUAUACAUAAAUUAAUUUCGAAGGAUUAAGAAAAAAUAAAGGCUAGAUCUACACCUUAGUAAUGAAUGCAGCUCUUUAUAGUCUUGAGAACGAGUCUGUCUGCUAAACGUUAGUCGAGCGAGCUAAUUCAGGAAAACCAGCAGACCAAUUGCAGACUUUCAUAGUCAAAUCUCAGAAUAGCCAUUGGAUUUUAAAACAUCUCAUUCUAUCUUUUUUUGUUUAGUAGAGGUAUACCAGACCACGUGAUAAGCAAUACCACCUCCAGAGAAGAACAGAUAUAGUCCUUGGUUCACUCCAGACCUGACUGCCCUCGACCAGCACAAAAACACUCUGUGGCGGACUGCAAUAGCAUCGAAUAGUCCCCGCGAUAUGCAACUGUUCAGGGAAGUCAGGAACCAAUACAGUCAGUCAGGAAAGCAACGGCUAGCUUUUUCAAACAGAAAUUUGCAUCCUGUAGCUCUUAACUCCAAAAAGUUUUGGGACACUAAGGUCCAUGGAGAAUAAGAGCACCUCCUCCCAGCUGCCCACUGCACUGAGGCUAGGUAACACUGUCACCACCGAUUAAUCCACGAUAAUCGAGAAUUUCAAUAACCAUUUAUUGAAAUUACUGAAAAAAAUUACUUUAUUUACUGAAAUUACUUUAUUUACUGAAAACCAAUAUUUUCAGACAAGAUAGAACGGCCAAAGGGGGCGGUGUUGCAAUGUACUGCAAAGAUAGGACAGAACUCUGCAGGCUACUAUCCAGGUCUGUACCCAAACAAUUUGAACUUCUACUUUUAAAAAUCCACCUCUCUAAAAACAAGUCUCUCACCGUUGCCGCCUGCUAUAGACCACCCUUUGCCCCAAGCUGUGCUCUGGACACCAUAUGUGAACUGAUUGCCCCCCAUCUAUCUUCAGAGCUCGUGCUGCUAGGCAACCUAAACUGGAACAUGCUUAACACACUAGCCAUCCUACAAUCUAAGAUUGAUGCCCUCAAUCUCACACAAAUUAUCAAUGAACCUACCAGGUACCACCCCAAAGCCGUAAACACGGGCACCCUCAUUAGAUAUCAUCCUAACCAACUUGCCCUCUAAAUACACCUCUGCUGUUUUCAACCAAGAUCUCAGUGAUCACUGGCUCAUUGCCUGCAUCCGUAAUGGGUCAGCGGUCAAACGACCUCCACUCAUCACUGUCAAACGCUCCCUGAAACACUUCAGCGUGCAGGCCUUUCUAAUCGACCUGGUUGGGGAUCCUGGAAGGAUAUUGAUCUCAUCCCGUCAGUAGAGGAUGCCUGGUUAUUUUUUUUAAAUGCCUUCCUAACCAUCUUAAAUAAGCAUGCCCCAUUCAAGAAAUUUAGAACCAGGAACAGAUAUAGCCCUUGGUUCUCUCCAGACCUGACUGCCCUUAACCAACACAAAAACAUCCUAUAGCGUUCAGCAUUAGCAUCGAACAGCCCCUUGUGAUAUGCGACUUUUCAGGGAAGCUAGAAACCAAUAUACACAGGCAGUUAGAAAAGCCAAGGCUAGCUUUUUCAAGCAGAAAUUUGCUUCCUGCAACACAAACUCAAAAAAGUUCUGGGACAUUGUAAAGCGCAUGGAGAAUAAGAACACCUCCUCCCAGCUGCCCACUGCACUGAAGAUAGGAAACACUGUCACCAUCGAUAAAUCCACUAUAAUUGAGAAUUUCAAUAAGCAUUUUUCUACGGCUGGCCAUGCUUUCCACCUGCCUACCCCUACCCCGGUCAACAGCACUGCACCCCCCACAGCAACUCGCCCAAGCCUUCCCCGUUUCUCCUUCUCCCAAAUCCAGUCAGCUGAUGUUCUGAAAAAGCUGCAAAAUCUGGACCCCUACAAAUCAACCGGGCUAGACAAUCUGGACCCUUACUAAAAUGAUCUGCCAAAAUUGUUGCCACCCCUAUUACUAGCCUGUUCAACCUCUCUUUUGUGUCGUCUGAGAUUCCCAAAGAUUGGAAAGCAGCUGCGGUCAUCCCCCUCUUCAAAGGGGGGGACACUCUUGACCCAAACUGCUACAGACGUAUAUCAAUCCUGCCCUGCCUUUCUAAAGUCUUCGAAAGCCAAGUUAAACAGAUCAACGACCAUUUCGAAUCCCACCGUACCUUAUCCACUGUGCAAUCUGGUUUCCGAGCUGGUACCUCAGCCACGCACAAGGUACAAAACGAUAUCAUAAAAGAUUGUACUGUGCAGCCGUCUUCAUCGACCUGGCCAAGGCUUUUGACUCUGUGAAUCACCAUAUUCUUAUCGGCAGACUCAGCAGCCUUGGUUUAUCAAAUGACUGCCUCUCCUGGUUCACCAACUACUUCUCAGACAAAGUUCAGUGUUUCAAAUCGGAGGGCCUGUUGUCCGGACCUCUGGCAGUCUCUAUAGGGUGCCACAGGGUUCAAUUCUUGGCCGACUCUGUUCUCUGUAUAUAUCAAUGAUGUCGCUCUUGCUGCUGGUGAUCCCUGAUCCACCUCUAUGCAGACGACACCAUUCUGUAAUCAUCUGGCCCUUCUUUGGACACUGUGUUAAAAAACCUCCAAACGAGCUUCAAUGCCAUACAACACUCCUUCCGUGGCCUCCAACUGCUCUUAAACGCUAGUAAAACUAAAUGCAUGCUUUUCAACCGUUCACUGCCCGCACCUGCCAGCCUGACUAGCAUCACUACUCUGGACUUAGAAUAUGUGGAGAACUACAAAUAUCUAGGUGUCUGGCUAGACUGUAAACUCUCCUUCCAGACUCAUAUUUAACAUCUCCAAUCCAAAAUUAAAUCUAGAAUUGGCUUUCUAUUCCGCCUUCACUCACACCGCCAAACAUUCCCUGGUAAAACUGACUAUCCUACCUAUCCUUGACUUCGGCAAUGUCAUUUACAAAAUAGCCUCCAACACUACUCAGCAAAUUGGAUGCAGUCUAUCACAGUGCCAUCCGUUUUGUCACCAAAGCCCCAUAUACCCCCCCACCACUGCAACCUGUAUGCUCUAAUCGGCUGGCCCUCACUACAUAUUUGUCGCCAGACCCGCUGGCUCUAGGUCAACUAUAAGUCUUUGCUAGGUAAAGCUCCGCCUUAUCUCAGCUCACUGGUCACGAUAACAACACCCACCCGUAGUACGCGCUCCAGCAGGUAUAUAUCACUGGUCAUCCCCGAAGCCAACACCUCUUUGGCCGCCUUUCCUUCCAGUUCUCUGCUGCCAAUGACUGGAACGAAUUGCAAAAAUCGCUGAAGCUGGAGACUUAUAUUUCCCUCACUAACUUUAAGCAUCAGCUAUCAGAGCAGCUAACCGAUCGCUGCAGCUGUACAUAGCCCAUCUGUAAAUAGCCCAUCCAAUCUACCUACCUCAUCCCCAUAUUGUUUUUAUUUAAUUUUCUGCUCUUUUGCACACCAGUAUUUCUACUUCCACAUCAUCAUCUGCACAUCUAUCACUCCAGUGUUAAUUUGCUAAAUUGUAAUUACUUGUUACUAUGCCCUAUUUAUUGCCUUACCUUCUCACGCCAUUUGCACACACUGUAUAUAGACUUUCUUUUUUUCUAUUGUGUUAUUGACUGUACGCUUGUUUAUUCCAUGUGUAACUCUGUGUUGUUGUUUGUGUCGCCCUGCUUUUCUUUAUCUUGGCCAGGUUGCAGUUGUAAAUGAGAACUUGUUCUCAACUAAUGUACCUGUCAAAUAAAGGUGAAAUAAUAAUAUAUAUAUAUUUUUUAAAUCACUGCAUUAAAUCUCUGCAAGUCAUUCUAUUUGAUUUAUUUAUUGAACCUUUAUUUAACUAGGCAAGUCAGUUAAGAAGAAAUUCUUAUUUACAAUGGCGGCCUACCAAGGAUAAGUGGGUUAACUGCCUUGUUCAGGGGCUGAACGACAGAUUUUUUACCUUGUCAGCUCGGGGAUUCAAUCCAGCAACAUUUCUACCCUUUCUAACCACUAGGCUAUCUGCCGCCUCUAUAACUCCAAGCUAUGUAUUUGAGGUAUAUGGUUAUUUUAUGACUUGGGGUUGUUGGUUAUUGUUUUAAUAGACGUUACAUUACAGAAAGAAAGCACACUGCACCCAAAGGAAAUAUCUUAAGUUGACCGAUUGUGGGAAGUAUUAUAGUAUGACUACUGUUAGCUCAAGGGACGAAGCACUCUUUACCUCUCCUCUAGUCACCUGCUACUUCAUAGCCCUUGAUGUGACCCUAGAGUUAUACAAUUUAAAGCUAAAACAAAUCUAUAGCUGUAAAGUAUGUUGUCCCCAGAUAGGCAGAGGUCAAACAGACGGGGCAAAUAUUCACUAAUGGCCUGCUACAACGCUGCUGCAGAUGCUAUACCAUCCAGCUACAACGCUGCUGCAGAUGCUAUACCAUCCAGCGUCUUCUUCAAAGGGUCAGACCAAAUGUCUAACCUCAACUUAUUUGUUUCAGGUUACCCUUAUGAAGUGUUCCACUACUCAUCUGAAAUUGGGGAUUUGGACAAAACAUUUUUCAAAGGGUGGUAUCAUUUAUUUAAAUUUUUUCCCGUGAAGGACCGUCCGCUUGUCAGAGGAGAAACAGACCUACUUGACUCUGAUAUUAUCAAUGAAGCAGGCAGUGAUGGUGUGAUAUUGUUCAGGAUCUACCUGCCACCAGACUUUCCCCAUGUCCCGCAGCCACUAACCAUGGAGUUCUUUGGUCUCUUCAAGGCUGAGUUUUUCAGGGAUGCUUGUGACAUCCCCCCUCCUUAUAGGGACUUUGUCCUUAGGCACAUAGUUGCCACAGUGUUGAAGCAGAAAUAGGAUGCUUUUGAAACUGAGAGGACUGUGAAGGAUGGGUUCGGGAAGACAGGUAUCUUUCUAUUUGACUACCAUGUCAUGGCUAGGUCCGUAUGGUGUGGGAGGGAAAAGAUGAGGCCCGAGUUCGGUUCUGCUGGACCCUGUGAUGAUGGGCCAAAGAAAAAAUGACCCGAACUUGUGACAGACAAGGGUGACAGACAGUUCUUAUGACAAUAAGAAGGCAUUAAAGGCAAGUUCUCUAUAAUAAUUACUUUGAGUCUCGGAAUAUCCUGUGAUUAAUUUACACAAAAUUAAUAUAACGUCAUGUCACCAUUGUAUUGGUACAUGUUGAUCUUGUGAUUUACAGGUGGAAUCUGACGCCAAACCGGUGUUGCCUGGGUCGUUUCUGCCAGUUUCUCUGCCAUCAGAGUCUGUUAAGAAAGGAGAUAUUAGGUGUGGUGGUUAAAAAAUAGGAGGAAAUUAAGGAGGAGUUGAAUGUUGUCAGACAUAUCUGCAAUAGAUCCAAAUAUUUUGAACAAUGCCAAUAAUCAACAUUAGACGAUAAUUAUAUCAAGGAAAAACUGUCAUGCUCCACUUUUCAUACUGUAUACCCACCCUGAUCACAAGAGCCAGCUAUAGUUCAAUUGAAGUGCGUUUGGCAUUUCUAUUAUGUUAGCAGUUUGUAAUUAGAAGUUUUACUUUGAAGCCUUCAUCAUUUUUCUGUUCUGAUGACUUCAUUGCAGUAUUUUCCAAGAGAUCACAGCCAUGACUCCAUUGAGAGAUGGGAUGAGACUUCGGGCCCUGACGAUAUAUCGGAAGCGUCCCAGGAGUUAACAGAGGAAUCUUCAGACUUAUCAGACGGCCCUGAUGAAUCAAACAGAUUUAGAAUACGUUGACGAAGAAGAAGAGUUACCUGAAACUUCACAAGCUGUGAGAGGAAAAGCAUCUUCAAAGUCACUGCUGCCAGAGAAACAGUCACCUCAUGGUGAAACAUUUUUAAUUGCACUAUUGGGCCCAAUCUAAGUGUCUAACCACAGAAACACAGACUUGGUGGAUGAGUCUGGUGACAGCUCUGACGACGAGCCAUUGGUUAAGAUGAUCAGGAAGCUUCCAACAAACUGCCAGCUGAGCGAGAGAGUGAAGGCACUGCUGAAAUACACAGACAUGGCGGAUGUGACAAUGAAGCAAAUCUACAAUAGAGUGUUUGAGAGGUGCCCCCGGUAUGACCUGUCUAACAAGAAGGACAUCAUCAAGCAGACAGUGAAAGAGGGGAUUUCUUUACAACCCAGGGUUUUAAUCAAGCCAUAUUCAUAGCUUUGACAGAUAACAUUAUAAUCCAUGAUCUCAGGAGAACAUAGUUGAUAUCGUGACAGACUCGGGGAUUCCUGUAUAUGCCUUUCCAGGAUGUUUCAUUUAUAUUUUAUACAUACAUAUUCAGACUGUUUAAAUACUAUACAAUUUCAUACAACUUAUUUGUUUUACUUACCUAAGUUUUGUAAAUAAAGUAUUUAUUGUACUGUA
ensembl:lncRNA